rnacentral:lncRNA from 1 species
GGAGAUGGUGGUGGGUGGGAGCCGCCAACUGGAGGGACCCCAGCUUAGUGCCCUGAGGGGAAGUGAACCCCGACCGGAAGCGCUCUCUGGCUGUGCUGGCUCUUCUCUGCCGCCGCUCUCAUUCCCUGCCCCGUGCCCCGGAGCCUGGUCCCUGAAGAUUGCCCGUCCUGGGCUUCCUUGCACUGUCUUCUGCUUGGGUGUGGCCCAUGGGAGGUACCAGCCAGAAGGUUGAACCAUGGUUUAGAUGGUAAAGAAUUCUCGUGCAAUGCAGGAAACCCAGGUUCAGUCCCUGGGUUGAGAAGAUCCCCUGGAGAAGAGAAUGGCUACCCCCUCUUGUAUUCUUGUCUGGAGAAUCCCAUUGACAGAGGAGCCUGGUGGGCUACAGUCCAUGGGGUCACAAAGAGUCGGACACGACUAAGUGACUAACACACACCACCUCUUCAUUAAUACACUCAAGUCCUAACCCACAGCAGCUCAGAAUGUGACUUUAUUUGGAGAUAGGGUCUUUACCGAGAUCAUCAAGUUAAAAUGAGGUAUUAGGGUGGGCCUUAACCCAACAUGACCAAUGUCUUUAUAAAAGGGGAAAUUUGGAGUCAGAGCCCCACACCAGAGGGAUGUCACAUGGAAGAUGAAGGCAGAGAUCACUGAUGCUUCUACAAGCCAAGAAACACCAAAGAUCGCCAGCAAACCACCAGGAGCUGGGAGAGAGGCCUGGAACAGAUUCUGCCUUAAAGCCUCAGAAGAAACCCACCCUGCUGACACCUUGAUCUUGGGCUCCUGACUUCUGGGAGGAUGUGACAAUACAUUUGUGUUGUUUAAGCCCCUCAGUCUAUGGUACUUUGUUUUGGCAGGCCUCGCAAACCAAACCAAUAGAACCUGGAGUUCUCAAUUCUCUAUUUUCCUCCAUCUUUGUAGAGAUAGUUCCUCCUUUUCUCUCUCCUUCUCCCUCUGCCCUUUCUGAUCAUAUUGGAUUAAACCAGGCUCUGGAGCCAGACUGUGUUCGACUCAAAGCUCUGUUAUUUACUAGUUGUAUGUCUCUAACCAUUGGGACACAGCCUGUGUUUCUUCAUCUGUAAAAUGGGAAUAAUAAGAGUAAUACUGACCUCAUCAAAUACGUGAAAGAACUGGUGCCCAGCCGGCCUUGACAAUGAGAAGGGUGCUGUCCUUAUGCCUGAUCUGAGUCUGCGGACUCCAAGGAUACUGAGGUGGACACCCCAACUUCACCCUGUGGUGAAGUUCCUGUUCAACCUUAUCAGACCUGGGAGUUUACCAUCUAACUGGAGACAUAAAACAUUUGUAGGGAAUAGUUCACAGUGCAAGGCAUUAUGUGAUUAUAGGAUCUUUGCACUGGUUCAGUCAAGUGGCUCUUGAUCCCAGCAGCACAUGAGAUCCCCAGGGUGUGCUUUGAAAAUAGUCCACUGCCUGGGCCCUGUCCCCAGAGCAGCUACACAGAAUUUAGGAACCUCAAGUGAAGUGAUGCAUCUGUCUGUCCUUCCGUGUCCUAUUGGCAAAGUUAGGGGGAGACUUGGAUGGAUGUCAAGGGCUAUGGUGAGAAUGCAUGAGAUGAGUUCUUACGUGUAAAUGCUUUUCUCUUGGUGCCUGCCCCAGAAAAAACACUGAGUAACUGUGAGCGCCCUUUGGUGAAGAAAUGUUCGAACAUUCUCCCCAGCAGAUGCUCCAGCUUUACAGGGUGCUUGCAGAUUCCUUUUGCUUGAAGGACUGAGAAUAGCUUUCCCCGUCAUCCCUCUCUCCUGAAGGCCAGGGCAGUUUGGAGGGCUUAGAACCAGAGCUCCUUGUUGAGAAGGAGGAUAGAUUGGCUGGGGGACCUCGUCCCGGGGAAUGCAGGAGAAGAGCUGUGCUUGCCGUGUGAGGGCCUCCAUGCUGUCAGUCGUCAAAGCUGCACAGAGCGCUUUGAAUCUUCACGUUAAGUCUUGCAUCACAUCUUCUGCUUUUAUCUCCUUCCUUCUCCUCGCUUCCUAUGCUUCUCUUUUGUCUCGCCUCAUCCUCAGCCAGUGUGUUUAGGGUCCAAGGUCUGGGCUCCUAUGCCAGCCCUGCCAUAAAUAGCUGUCCAAUGGUAGGUGAGCUUCUCAACGUCUCUCAGCUUUGUCUUCCUUAGCCUUAUGAAUAAAAAUGAAAGUUCCUUCUUCAGCGCCUCUGUUUGCUAUUUAAAGGGAAAGCAAAGAAGCACUUUCAUCACAGCAGAAAGUGCUCAAGUGGCCUAACUCUGAUGGUGACAUACAGAGUCAAAGGCUGAUCUUGGUGGCUGGGUCUCAGAGCCCAUCUCAGGAUGGGGUGGUGUGAGCUUGGCUAAGGUGACCAGGGCAGCACGGAGCCCUGAGAAG